rnacentral:lncRNA from 1 species
AAUAACGUUAAAUGUCGUUUUACUUUAUCUAUUUCUCUUCUACUUCUGUAUUUUAUGCAGUUAUGUCUAUUUUUAAAGAAAACUGGAGCUUCUCAUAAUGCUUUAUUGGCAAAUAAUACUUCACUAUGAAACCCUUCCCCAACCACAUCCUCCACGAGAGCAUCUAUCAAUGAAAAAUGACGUAAUGAAGUUGAUUCUCUACAGCCUGGAACUUUGUUUUGAACAAGAUUCUGAUGGUCAGUCAUGACUGAGAAUCACCCCCUUCUUCAGUGUUGGUAUUCACCAAAUUCUCUCACUUCUCACUGUCUCAGCAAUGGAUUCUGGUGGCUUAAAAGUUUUGUUUCCUGCUAGCA